AAUUUUAAGGUCAAGCUACAAAGGGCGCAUGGUGAAUGCCUUGGCACUAGGAGCCGAAGAAGGACGCGAUAAGCUGCGAUAAGCCUUGGGUAGCCGCAAAUAGGCUGAGAUCCAGGGAUUUCCGAAUGAGGAAACUCACAUGGGUAACCCCAUGUAUCAUGCACUGAAUACAUAGGUGUAUGAGGGUAAACCCGGGGAACUGAAACAUCUAAGUACCCGGAGGAAGAGAAAGAAAAAUCGAUUUCCUAAGUAGCGGCGAGCGAACGGGAAAGAGCCCAAACCAGAAACUUGUUUCUGGGGUUGCGGAUAGAUCAUAAAAGAAGAGGUAUCUUAAUCGAAGAGGGCUGGAACGCCCUACCAUAGAAGGUAAUAGUCCUGUAGAUAAAAAGAGAAAACUUCGAGAUCUAAUCCAGAGUACCACGAGACACGUGAAACCUUGUGGG
rnacentral:rRNA from 1 species